rnacentral:rRNA from 2 species
AACGAACGCUGGCGGCAGGCCUAACACAUGCAAGUCGAACGAGAAGCCACCUUCGGGUGGUGGACAGUGGCAGACGGGUGAGUAACGCGUGGGAACGUGCCUUUCGGUUCGGAAUAACCCAGGGAAACUUGGGCUAAUACCGAAUACGCCCUUCGGGGGAAAGAUUUAUUGCCGAAAGAUCGGCCCGCGUCGGAUUAGCUUGUUGGUGGGGUAAAAGCCUACCAAGGCGACGAUCCGUAGCUGGUCUGAGAGGAUGAUCAGCCACACUGGGACUGAGACACGGCCCAGACUCCUACGGGAGGCAGCAGUGGGGAAUAUUGGACAAUGGGCGAAAGCCUGAUCCAGCCAUGCCGCGUGGGUGAAGAAGGCCCUAGGGUUGUAAACCCCUUUCAGCGGGGAAGAUAAUGACGGUACCC